AGUCGAACGAAGGCCCGGAGCUUGCUCCGGUUACCUUAGUGGCGGACGGGUGAGUAACACGUGGGAAUUUGCCCAAGAGUGGGGAAUAACGUUUGGAAACGAACGCUAAUACCGCAUACGCCCUUCGGGGGAAAGGCUUCGGCCGCUCUUGGAUAAGCCCGCGUCAGAUUAGCUUGUUGGUGAGGUAACGGCUCACCAAGGCUACGAUCUGUAGCUGGUCUGAGAGGAUGAUCAGCCACACUGGGACUGAGACACGGCCCAGACUCCUACGGGAGGCAGCAGUGGGGAAUAUUGGACAAUGGGGGAAACCCUGGUCCAGCCAUGCCGCGUGAGUGAAGAAGGCCCUAGGGUUGUAAAACUCUUUCAGUCGUGACGAUGAUGACGGUAGCGACAGAAGAAGCCCCGGCUAACUCCGUGCCAGCAGCCGCGGUAAUACGGAGGGGGCUAGCGUUGUUCGGAAUUACUGGGCGUAAAGCGCACGUAGGCGGUCUAUCUAGUUAGAGGCGAAAGGCCCGGGCUCAACCUGGGAACUGCCUUUAAUACUGGUAGGCUAGAGUCCGGGAGAGGGUAGCGGAAUUCCAAGUGUAGAGGUGAAAUUCGUAGAUAUUUGGAAGAACACCGGUGGCGAAGGCGGCUACCUGGACCGGCACUGACGCUGAGGUGCGAAAGCGUGGGGAGCGAACAGGAUUAGAUACCCUGGUAGUCCACGCCGUAAACGAUGAGUGCUAGAUGUCGGGGUUUCAGAUUUCGGUGUCGCAGCUAACGCGUUAAGCACUCCGCCUGGGGAGUACGGUCGCAAGAUUAAAACUCAAAGGAAUU
rnacentral:rRNA from 1 species